rnacentral:rRNA from 1 species
UCCUGGCUCCGGAUGAAACACGCCGGAGUGACUCAUUCAUUCAAGUUGUACAAGAUUUCGUAUUUUAUUGGGGGGGGGGGGGCCCGCGUGAAAUUUUAUCUUGNCGGCGGAGACACCAGUUGGAAAAUUGCUUUAAUACCAAUAUGCUGUGGGGGAAAGAGAUCCGGUAAAAUNGAGGCUGGCGUCAGGUUAUCACAUAGCAGGGGGUAAAAGCUCAUCACGGCGAAGAGCAGUACACCUUCUGAGAGGAUGAUCACCCACACUGGGACUGAGAGACGGACCAAGAAUUACGACGACACCAGUAGGGAAUUUUUCGCAAAAGAGAAANCCUCGAGACCAACAGCCGCGGUA